AACGAACGCUGGCGGCAGGCUUAACACAUGCAAGUCGAACGCCCCGCAAGGGAAGUGGCAGACGGGUGAGUAACGCGUGGGAAUCUACCCAGCUCUACGGAACAACUGAGGGAAACUUCAGCUAAUACCGUAUACGCCCUACGGGGGAAAGAUUUAUCGGAAUUGGAUGAGCCCGCGUUGGAUUAGCUAGUUGGUGAGGUAACGGCUCACCAAGGCGACGAUCCAUAGCUGGUCUGAGAGGAUGAUCAGCCACACUGGGACUGAGACACGGCCCAGACUCCCACGGGAGGCAGCAGUGGGGAAUAUUGGACAAUGGGCGCAAGCCUGAUCCAGCCAUGCCGCGUGAGUGAUGAAGGCCUUAGGGUUGUAAAGCUCUUUCAGUGGGGACGAUAAUGACGGUACCCACAGAAGAAGCCCCGGCUAACUUCGUGCCAGCCGCCGCAGUAAUAC
rnacentral:rRNA from 1 species